GGCGCGCUCUGCGCGCACCGGCGGACGGCUCAGUAACACGUCGGUAACCUACCCUCGGGAGGGGGAUAACCCCGGGAAACUGGGGCUAAUCCCCCAUAGGCCUGAGGUACUGGAAGGUCCUCAGGCCGAAAGGGUCUCUGACCGCCCGAGGAUGGGCCGGCGGCCGAUUAGGUAGUUGGUGGGGUAACGGCCCACCAAGCCGAAGAUCGGUACGGGCCAUGAGAGUGGGAGCCCGGAGAUGGACACUGAGACACGGGUCCAGGCCCUACGGGGCGCAGCAGGCGCGAAACCUCCGCAAUGCGGGCAACCGCGACGGGGGGACCCCCAGUGCCGUGGCAUCGCCACGGCUUUUCCGGAGUGUAAAAAGCUCCGGGAAUAAGGGCUGGGCAAGGCCGGUGGCAGCCGCCGCGGUAAUACCGGCGGCCCGAGUGGUGGCCGCUAUUAUUGGGCCUAAAGCGUCCGUAGCCGGGCCCGUAAGUC
rnacentral:rRNA from 1 species